rnacentral:rRNA from 1 species
UACGUAGGGUCCAAGCGUUGUCCGGAUUUAUUGGGCGUAAAGAGCUCGUAGGCGGCUCGGUAAGUCGGAUGUGAAAACUCGGGGCUCAACCCCGAGACGCCAUCCGAUACUGCUGUGGCUUGAGUCUGGUAGGGGAGAACGGAAUUCCUGGUGUAGCGGUGAAAUGCGCAGAUAUCAGGAGGAACACCGGUGGCGAAGGCGGUUCUCUGGGCCGAUACUGACGCUGAGGAGCGAAAGCGUGGGGAGCGAACAGG